AUGGAGGAACAACCUCACUUGUAUGAGGCCGCCGCCUUCCCCACCGAUCCUGAGACCACUUAUGGUGCCGCCGAGGAUGACCACACUGAUGCCAACACUGAUGGUGCCACCGAGGAUGCCACCACUGAUGAUGGCGGCGCACGCACAGACGGCAGCCAACCGAAGAGGCAACGGAAGGACCGGCGCCCGAUCGUGCUCCUCACCCUCAAGGAGGAAGUUACUGAAGUGGACUCCAACGGAAAUCCAACGGCGCCCGAACGAAUAGUCAAGGGGUACUCGCUUCAGCUCGGGUGCAUUGUCCGGAGCACCGUCUCGAUCAACACCAAGAACCUGAGGCAUCCUGACCGAGGGAAUUUGCGCAACCUCCUCUUCACGAAGCUGCAUGAACGAUACAAGUUCCCCGCUGAAUUUGCAAACACAAGCCUCAAAGGGAAUAAAGUGAACAAUGCUGCCCUCACGAAGAUGAGCAAGGCCCUGUUGGAAAAGCAAUGUGAAGAGAAUGAUCGAGAAAGGUGA
rnacentral:rRNA from 1 species